rnacentral:rRNA from 1 species
CCUACGGGUGGCAGCAGUGAGGAAUAUUGGUCAAUGGACGAGAGUCUGAACCAGCCAAGUAGCGUGAAGGAUGACUGCCCUAUGGGUUGUAAACUUCUUUUAUAUGGGAAUAAAACGUUCCACGUGUGGGAUUUUGUAUGUACCAUAUGAAUAAGGAUCGGCUAACUCCGUGCCAGCAGCCGCGGUAAUACGGAGGAUCCGAGCGUUAUCCGGAUUUAUUGGGUUUAAAGGGAGCGUAGGUGGAUUGUUAAGUCAGUUGUGAAAGUUUGCGGCUCAACCGUAAAAUUGCAGGUGAAACUGGCAGUCUUGAGUACAGUAGAGGUGGGCGGAAUUCGUGGUGUAGCGGUGAAAUGCUUAGAUAUCACGAAGAACUCCGAUUGCGAAGGCAGUUCACUGGACUGCAACUGACACUGAGGCUCGAAAGUGUGGGUAUCAAACAGGAUUAGAUACCCCAGUAGUC